CGGACGGGUGAGUAAUGUCUGGGAAACUGCCGAUGGAGGGGGAUAACUACUGGAAACGGUAGCUAAUACCGCAUAACGUCGCAAGACCAAAGAGGGGGACCUUCGGGCCUCUUGCCAUCGGAUGUGCCCAGAUGGGAUUAGCUAGUAGGUGGGGUAACGGCUCACCUAGGCGACGAUCCCUAGCUGGUCUGAGAGGAUGACCAGCCACACUGGAACUGAGACACGGUCCAG
rnacentral:rRNA from 1 species